rnacentral:lncRNA from 1 species
UUGGUACUGACCACUGAGCUAUACUAUAUUACUGGAGGACGUGCUCGGCAUCAAAAAGUGUCCGCAAAAACAUGGCGGAUUUCGGCCUUUGCUGACGCCAGAAUGACGCCAUGUGGUUCCUCCGGCUCAUGGUAAUUACCACUGACCAGGCUCAAUUUUGAGCCCGCUACGACUUUCACACCCCCCUGGUUCUUAUUAAAAUAUUUUUGCUGGUUGAAGUAUUUGCAGUAUAUUCUCGUAGUUUUUGAUUUUUUCAUAUUUUUUGUACCUUUGACCACUGGUUCAAAUGUGUGCAAGUCGUACACAUUAUAUUCUCGUCCUCAAAAGACAGAAAACCUCGAAAUACAUCCGCAAAGACGAUAUUUGAAGCCGCAACUACAGGUAAAAUAUUUCUCAGUUCAUAUUAAACUUCACACACUGAGUCACACUCGAGCAAAUUUUCUACAAAAAUUGUUGGGUUUAACUGUGGUACAAUGUAUUAUAUUUUAGC